AGUUAGGGUUUUCUUUUGUUUUGCUUUGUUCUUGAGAGAAAAUGGUGGAGAACCAAGCCACCCUUCACUUAAUAAAUCAGAAGAAGAGAGUCAAAUAUAAACACCACUUUUCCGUUCAGGUCAUGAGUCAUGCAAAUUUACAUCGGAUCGGUGAUUUACCAGAAAAUAAGGAGAGGCAGUUUGCAACAGACCGAUGAGUUGAGUGCUACUCUAGCUAGAAGCCUCAAAAUUAAUGGACCUCCAAGCAAACUUUGUGUGGAGCUCUGGCAUCCAGCAUUUGGCAUCCAGCUUAACCUGUUGUGUUUCCACAUAGGCAGCGAUAGGUAGGACUUGGCUUUGCGAUGGUCGGUUCAUUUCCCUUCCCAGUACAUAAUUGGCAACCUUGGAAGGUGGCAUCAGAGGCCAAAUGCUUAAUGUGGCAUCAGAUCGUCAAAUGCUUAAUAUGGCAUAGACUGGAUGAUGUUGUUUAUGGGAUUACGCGCCUGUCAAACUGCUCUUCGAUCUGCGAUCUGUUGUUAUACAUCAUAUGGUGUAAUUUUUCUCACCUAGCUACCCCGUGUAAAUUAGCUGGUACAGAAUUAUGGACGUAAUUGGCCUGACCCAUACCCCCAGUUCAAGGAGGCCUGGGGUGUCGAAUUAAUGCAGGCUCUACUCUCCUCGUAGAGAAGUAUGGACGUUCUUCAAAGCUAGUUGGGGCUUCUUUGUUUGAUCUUGUUCUUGAGAAUAAAAUGGAGAAAAUUCAAGUGUACUUUUCCUAAAUGAAAAGAUAGUCAAAUACAAAGACCAGUAUUCUUUCUUUCAGAUCAUGAAUCAUACUAAUUUAAUUACAUCAAAUUGGUGAUUUAACACAAAACUGUAAAACUCUUUCAGUGUCGUGGACAAAUGAAGACCCUUGGAUGGAUUGUGUAUACAAGAUUUCUUCAAAUGCACCUGCAGCACUGCAUAGGUUCACAAUCCAUCGUUAUAACAUCUUUGCAUAAUAAAAUGUACUGA